rnacentral:pre_miRNA from 1 species
UAAGGCUGAACCAAUGGACUGUGCAUUUCUAUCAAGUUCAAGGGUCUCGGCCUCAUCU